rnacentral:piRNA from 1 species
UGAUAGUUUCCUGUAGAAAGUUGCUGU